GCCCUCCGGCCACCGCCCCAGAUAUACCGAAAACCGCCCUUACGCCCUGCGCCUUUCAUCUGGCCGCCAGAUCCGAGCCAAAACUGGCAAUUCGAUCGCGCCUCCUUGACGUUAGCGGAGUUCGAAGACUUGAGAGCCGGGAAGCGGAAGGAUAGACGAAAAAGAGAAAAAACAUACACAUCGCAAUAGUAUAUAACGGGAAUAGCACAAGCGCAUGUACAUACGCAACAACGUUUAUCGUCAAAUAUCAAAAAACAAUCAAAAAACAAUUAAAAAAUACACACACAUACAUACAUACAUACAUAUAUAUAUAUAUAUACACAUAUAUAUACGGAAGAGAAGAUCGAUUAUUGUUGGGGAAAAGAAAGAAUUAGCUUAUAUUGGGUUGGAUUAAUUCUCGAUUCGUGCCUGGAAUUUUUAUACUCUCGAUCGACAUCGCGAAAAUAGUUUCUUUUUUUUUUUUCAUCCUACUGUCCGACACCUAAAUCUGUACAAAUAUAACAACGCGGCGUGACGAUGCUGAUCGGUCUGGUUCGCGAUUCUGUGCUGCAAUGCUUUUGCCACAGCUGCAAAGCCCCUUUGGGCUUGGUUGCUGCAACACAACGGCGUGGUGCGCCAAUCACAAAGAAGCCGGCCGGCAAAGGGAAACCACGCACGAAACAGCCGAAAAAAGUCAAAUUUAUCACAACUGAGAUUCGAUGCCAGGAGAAGUCUAAGGGCGGCCUAUGCUAUGAAGUGAUUUUGGCCGAGCCGACGGUCCCAAAACGGACUUCCUCACCGCCGCAGCCAAGUCCGACUCAGCAGAUAGCGAUAGAAGACAAGCUGAGAGCAGCGGAAGAGAGGCGACUCUCCCUGGAGGCUCACAAAUUGGCUGCUCUCGCAACAAAGCUUGGAAAAAUUGAGGAGGCGUCUCGCAAAAAGGAUGAGCUAAGCGCUGCCUUUAUUUCUCAGACCCGCGAGGCUCUUGAUGCUAAAAUGACAAACACUGAGGAAAAACGAGAGGCUCACAUCGCGGACCUUAAGAGCAAGCUCAAGGAACAUUUGGAGAGUGUGGAAAAAACUCGCCUCAGUUUGGAGCAGCAGACAGAGGAGGUUCGAUGCGCAGUUGAAGAAAAGCUCAAGACUGCCGCAGCUCAGCGUGAUGAAAAUAUUAAGAAGAUGCUUGAUCGCCUGAAGGAACAUGAGGACCAAGUUGUUCGCGUACGGACAGGAAUGUCAGAGCGAGUGCAGCAGCUCGAAUCCCAGAUUCAGGGCAAAUUGGAUCAAGCGCGCGAGCGGCGUGAGACAAUAGAGCGCGAGCAGAAGGAAAAGCUGCGUAAUCAUGUAAGUUUAACGGCUGACGAGUUAUUUUUAAUUAAGAUGCAUGUGUACUUGAAAUGUACAUAUAUUACAAGAGAGAUUUUUCGGAAGUGCGUCAAGUAGCCGAGGUCUUUGCGCUGAAGGCACUCGAGGCUAAAGAGCGAGAGCUCGCCAUGAGGCUGACUGCUGCUGAAAUCAACCGGCAGCGAGAGAUUCAGCGUCGUGUUCAGGCCAUUCGCCAGCAUGAGAGACGUGCUGAGAUAGUGAGGCAGAACAAAGCAGCACUUGCUGGACAAGAAUCAAAAACAGGGGAUCAGCCAAGCUCGCCGGUGGAAAAGGAGACUGCCAGCUCUGGUUAAAUUUCCUCCUUCCCUUUCUCAUUU
rnacentral:misc_RNA from 1 species